rnacentral:rRNA from 1 species
GUAGGUGGCAAGCGUUGUCCGGAAUUAUUGGGCGUAAAGCGCGCGCAGGCGGUUCUUUAAGUCUGAUGUGAAAGCCCACGGCUCAACCGUGGAGGGUCAUUGGAAACUGGAGAACUUGAGUACAGAAGAGGAAAGCGGAAUUCCACGUGUAGCGGUGAAAUGCGUAGAGAUGUGGAGGAACACCAGUGGCGAAGGCGGCUUUCUGGUCUGUAACUGACGCUGAGGCGCGAAAGCGUGGGGAGCAAACAGGGGGUUAGAUACCCUGGUAGUCCACGCCGUAAACGAUGAGUGCUAAGUGUUAGGGGGUUUCCCGCCCCUUAGUGCUGCAGCUAACGCAUUAAGCACUCCGCCUGGGGAGUACGCCGCAAGGCUG